rnacentral:rRNA from 1 species
AGGACGAACGCUGGCGGCGUGCCUAACACAUGCAAGUCGAACGGAGCUGAGGAGCUUGCUCCUUAGCUUAGUGGCGGACGGGUGAGUAACGCGUGAGUAACCUGCCUCUGAGAGGGGAAUAACGUUCUGAAAAGAACGCUAAUACCGCAUAACGUAUUGAAGCCGCAUGACUUUGAUACCAAAGAUUUUAUCGCUCGGAGAUGGACUCGCGUCCGAUUAGCUUGUUGGUGAGGUAACGGCUCACCAAGGCGACGAUCGGUAGCCGGACUGAGAGGUUGAUCGGCCACAUUGGGACUGAGACACGGCCCAGACUCCUACGGGAGGCAGCAGUGGGGGAUAUUGCGCAAUGGGGGCAACCCUGACGCCAGCAACGCCGCGUGAAGGAUGAAGGUUUUCGGAUUGUAAACCUCUGUUCUCAGGGACGAUAAUGACUGUACCUGAGGAGAAAGCUCCGGCUAACUACGUGCCAGCCGCCGC